rnacentral:rRNA from 1 species
CACACCGCCCGUCACACCAUGAAAGCCUAUUGUACCAGAAGUCAUUGUGCUAACCGUAAGGGGCAGAUGCCUAAGGUAUGGUCGGUGAUUGGGGUG